AUUGAACGCUGGCGGCAGGCCUAACACAUGCAAGUCGAACGAGUGGCGGACGGGUGAGUAAUGUAUGGGAAACUGCCCGAUGGAGGGGGAUAACUACUGGAAACGGUAGCUAAUACCGCAUACCAUCGGAUGUGCCCAGCUGGGAUUAGCUAGUAGGUGGGGUAACGGCUCACAUAGGCGACGAGCCCGAGCUGGUCUGAGAGGAGGCCAAGCCACACUGGAACGGAGACACGGUCCAGACUCCUACGGGAGGCAGAAGGGGGGAAUAUUGCACAAUGGGCGCAAGCCUGAUGCAGCCAUGCCGCGGGUAUGAAGAAGGCCUUAGGGUUGGAAAGUACUUUCAGCGAGGAGGCGUUACUCGCAGAAGAAGCACCGGCUAACUCCGUGCCAGCAGCCGCGGUAAUAC
rnacentral:rRNA from 1 species